rnacentral:rRNA from 1 species
GGAAUAUUGCACAAUGGGGGAAACCCUGAUGCAGCGACGCCGCGUGAGUGAAGAAGUAUCUCGGUAUGUAAAGCUCUAUCAGCAGGAAAGAUAAUGACGGUACCUGACUAAGAAGCCCCGGCUAACUACGUGCCAGCAGCCGCGGUAAUACGUUGCGGGCAAGCGUUAUCCGGAUUUACUGGGUGUAAAGGGAGCGUAGACGGUAAUGCAAGUCUGGAGUGAAAUGCAGGGGCUCAACCCCUGAACUGCUUUGGAAACUGUAUGACUGGAGUGCAGGAGAGGUAAGUGGAAUUCCUAGUGUAGCGGUGAAAUGCGUAGAUAUUAGGAGGAACACCAGUGGCGAAGGCGGCUUACCGGACUGCAACUGACGUUGAGGCCCGAAAGCGUGGGGAGCAAAC